AACGAACGCUGGCGGCAGGCUUAACACAUGCAAGUCGAGCGCCCCGCAAGGGGAGCGGCAGACGGGUGAGUAACGCGUGGGAACGUACCCUUUGCUACGGAAUAGCUCCGGGAAACUGGAAUUAAUACCGUAUGUGCCCUACGGGGGAAGGAUUUAUCGACAAAGGAUCGGCCCGCGUUGGAUUAGCUAGUUGGUGGGGUAAUGGCCUACCAAGGCGACGAUCCAUAGCUGGUCUGAGAGGAUGAUCAGCCACAUUGGGCCUGAGACACGGCCCAAACUCCUACGGGAGGCAGCAGUGGGGAAUAUUGGACAAUGGGCGCAAGCCUGAUCCAGCCAUGCCGCGUGAGUGAUGAAGGCCUUAGGGUUGUAAAGCUCUUUCACCGGAGAAGAUAAUGACGGUAUCCGGAGAAGAAGCCCCGGCUAACUUCGUGCCAGCAGCCGCCGUAAUAC
rnacentral:rRNA from 1 species